GCCUGGCUGGCUCAAUUGGUGGAGCGUGCGACUCUUGAUCUUGGGGUUGUGGGCUUGAGCCCCACGUUGGGUC
rnacentral:tRNA from 1 species